AAAGGGGGGAACCUGAUGCAGCCAUGCCGCGUGUGUGAAGAAGGCCUUCGGGUUGUAAAGCACUUUCAGUUGUGAGGAAAAGUUAGUAGUUAAUACCUGCUAGCCGUGACGUUAACAACAGAAGAAGCACCGGCUAACUCCGUGCCAGCAGCCGCGGUAAUA
rnacentral:rRNA from 1 species